rnacentral:rRNA from 1 species
AUGAUUCGCAAUCUUAGAACUAUCAAUCUUAUCAUUAGAGGAUUGCCCAAAAAUUUGAUUGCUAUCUUACCUACUCUUGAUUGUGCCUAUACUAUAUGGAGAUUUCUUGAGGAACGAUUCCCAAAUUAUUCCUCAAAAAAUCUAAACAAAAUUCUCCAUAGGUCUAUAGCCUUGAGUAAGAUGAGUACUAGUGAUCCUAAGUUUGGUGAUUGUCUAUUUGAGCUUACCAAUCUCAUGCGUGCCAAAGGAGAUGUUGGAAUCAUUAGCAAUAUCAUCUCCGAAGCUAUUAGAAUUCAUAAAGGUGACCAUUGUGAUGAUCAGUUAUCUAAUGAAUUACCCUCUCUAGGAAUUGAUCAAAUACAAGACGAUGUUGAACAUGGAUACUAUGAUGAGGAUGAUGAUAGUGACUAUGAUCUUGAUGAUGCGAUGAGACACUUGGUCUUAUGA